rnacentral:tRNA from 1 species
GGGGUAUUAAGAUAAAGAAUAAAGCUUCUAACUUUAAUCUAAGCGGUUAAAUUCCGUUUAUACCCUU